GCCCCCUUUGUCUGUUGCACUCACCACCCUGACAUCUGGGCUGUGACUGACAACACACAACUGGAAACCCUGUGUUACAGAGGAAGCAUCAGUCUGGAUUUCUCGACAGCCCCAACAACACUUCUGGGUACUUCACUGUCUGAAUCGAGACGUGUGUGUGUGUGUGAGAUACAGAAAAAGAAAAUGACUCAACACCUGGCUGGUCCAAAACACAGCGGAACAGAACCUGGAGCGAGACCACAGCUGCAUAUAUGACCAAUAUUUAUAGUUAUGGAUGUCUGAGCCUCGUGGUUGGCUGGCAGCAUAGAGGAACCCUGCUGGGCCAUAGAAACUAAUGAGAAAUAAAUUAUGAGGACCAUGACUCCAUCCGUACAUGUUAGUGAUGAAUCUAAUUCAAACUGCUUUUCCAUAUUUCAAAAAUAAAAGGCCUAUUAAUGUUCAAAAAGUGGCAGUGGUA